rnacentral:rRNA from 1 species
UACGGAGGAUCCGAGCGUUAUCCGGAUUUAUUGGGUUUAAAGGGUGCGCAGGCGGGAGAUUAAGUCGGCGGUGAAAUUUUGCAGCUUAACUGUAAAAGUGCCAUCGAUACUGGUUUCCUUGAGUGUAGAUGAAGUAGGCGGAAUUUGUGGUGUAGCGGUGAAAUGCAUAGAUAUCACGAGGAACUCCGAUUGCGCAGGCAGCUUACUAAACUACUACUGACGCUCAGGCACGAAGGCGUGGGGAUCAAACAGGAUUAGAUACCCGU